CAGAGCUCAGAGCCGGAAAGCAAACAGCUGCUGUAGCCUGAUUUGAGUUAAAAUAGUGUGAGUGUUUAGUCUGGCGCACGGCUUCAGGGGAGAUUGGCAGCUGGGUCAAACAAAGUCCUUCCAUUGGCUCUCUUCCCAGGCAGCUUCUGCUAGUAUUUAGGUACUAGUGCAGUGUAGGGCCCUUUUCUCAGGCAAAAGCUAACAUCUGACCGCACCCUCUUUGCUUUUUCCAAAAAAAAAAAAAAAAAAAAAAAAAAAAAAAAAAGAAAAAAAAAAAAAACCUUCUUUUUCCUUCUUUCGUUAAGAUAAAUUCUCCAAUAGACAACCUCUCCCACUAAUUGUGUAUUAGCAAUGUAUUUUAUCUUGAGAGCUGACGCACUGGGCUCUCAACGUGGUGUGGAAAGCAGCCUGUUACAGUGCUGGAUUCAUAAAAGGGCCUUUAUGGCUUGUGAAAGAAUAUCUGUGUGCUUAGGCAGGAAACUUUUUGAUCUGCAGAAAAGCCAGAAGACAUCUAGCAGACCAGAGUAGGGGUGGUCAUCUCAUUGAGAUGUAUACAGUACGAAAGGGUUAUUCAAAACACUUCAGGAUAAAUAACAGAUGAAUUCUUAAAACUGUUAAUCUCUGGUAUCCUUGAAGAUUAAUCAGAGACCUUUCCACGCACCUAUAAAGACCGGUCAAUCAGAUUGGGUCACUGUGAAGACUGACUAAGAGAAGGAGAGAGGCUGGAUUGUUCCAUAUGAAGAGAACAUCAGGCAUGAAAAAGAAUUCCUGCCACCCCCAAUAUCACCUACACAAAAUCUUUUCAACUGAAUAAAUGGCCAGUGUAAGAUGAACAAGGGAGAAAAUGCCAGAAACUACAACGUACACUAUGUGUACAUUAUUAACGUUGUAGUAGAUAAAUACUCUUAAACUUUUAGAGACACAGUGCAGCUCUGUAGUGUGAUGGUCCUUCCUCUGGUCUCCCAAAUUUCUGAGGGUGGAUGAUGUCUGCCACAUUGUGACCAUAAACAUGGUCAUAAAGAAAUGCUUGGAUAGGAAAUAUCUACAUACCAUGAUGGAAAAGUCAUAUGCAAGGCAAAUAUUUUGGUGAAAUAAUUCAUUUUACUGGUUUAUUAUCACUAGUGAAAACCACAAUAUAACUUUAAUGAAAUACCCCCAUGAAAAUGUAUCUUUUCAGUGUAUGCCAUGUUCGCUCUUGAGGAUUCACAAUUCAACGAUGCAUUUUAGCUCUUGAAUGUUUGGCUUUAUCACAGUGUUUCCCAUACUUUUAAUAAGGAAUGCCAUUGUAGCUGGUGUUUGGUAAAUUUAAGAUUCAGAAAUACUCAUCAAAAUCACAGUAUAACCAAAAUUUUUGUAGUAAAAUUUUAUACUGUCUAGUUUAUUACUGACAGAGAAUUUAUUCUCAAAUUUUGUCUGUUAAAAAAAAAAACCAAAUGCACAGCAUACCGUAAGUAUGGAAAAGAACAUUUUUUCAUGUUGUAGAAUAAUAAAAGCUGUUUUGCACUUAUACUCUAUUGCAAUCUAUAGAGAAAGAUGCUAGGAAUAUGUUCAUAUUGCUGCAACUGUUAUUUCGAGCAUGAGUGACUAUACAUAUAUACACACUAAUGAUUUUUGUAAAGCUGACUCUACAUUUGUUAAUUUUUUUCAGAAUAUUACUUUGGUCAGUAAAGACGUUCAACUUAAAACUUUGACAUAAAACAGCAAUUUUUUUCCCCCAAGGAGAAAAACCACCUUAGAAACUUAACUUGGUUAUACAAGUGAGAACAACUCAAUAUUCAUUGGUUUGACAAAUCUUUCAAGCAUCUCUUUUGUGCCUACACUCCUCAAAGCACCGGGGAUAGAGCAGUCAACAAAACAGACAAAUAUUUCUGCCCUCAUGGAGUUUACAUUCUAAUGGGAGAAGCUCAUCCCUCCUCAGCUUCUCAAAUAUUUUUAAGUAAAUCUCCUUCAAAUUUAAAUAAAUAAAAAUAUUUGUCAUUAUAGGAUGAAAAGCCCUCAGGAGGGUUUCUAAACCAAGUAAGUAACAAAGAGGUAGGAUCUGGGUUGGUUAAACACAUUUGUGUACUCUUCUUCAGAGAGGCAAAGGAUGAUAAGAUUAUACCAGUACAGUUUACAUAUUUUAGAACCUGCAGAAAGUUCUCCUGGUGAAAACAAGCUAUUAAAUAUUACUCUUUUGAUCCUU